CGGCGCUGCGGCGCUCAGAUCCGGCGCUGAGCCGUCCUGCCGGCCCUCACCAUCGCCGGCCUCCUCAGCUCCUCAGCUCUCCACACGGUGAGCCCCGCACCUGCAGUCGCCGGUCUCACCGUGUCCGUUGCCGCCGUCUCGGAUCGAUGCUGCCGUUCUCGUAGAGCCGAGAAGGCCGCCGCACAGCCACGCCAGCGUCGUCCCGCCGAUCCGAGAUGGCUGCUGCACUGGCCGCGCGUCGCUCGGCCCGCCGCUGCCAUCGGCGUCCGGAGCGACGCGCGGACCUGCUCGCCGCGACUCGGGUCCACGCCGCCCCCGCGGAAUCACCGAACUCAGCGCAGCCGCUAAACGCGAAUCUCCGCUCGCCCUCAUGGUCCCAGCCUCGCCACUCGCCGUCGCCGCCCCGCCCCGCCGCGGAUCUCCCCCAUGCCAGACCGCUCACAGCACCCGACGCUGCGGCUCCUGUCGUGACUGCCCACCGCGGAUAGUCGUAUCCGAACCUUGCUUGCUGUUGCUAUUCAUGGAGCUGUAUUUGUCUAUAAUCUGAGACGCCACUCUAACUUGAGCAAUUAAGAAUAGAAAUUGCUAAAUCUGCCACAUGUAUAGUGAAUAUGCACUGAGACUUCUUAUUGACAUUGCUAGGUCCUGCAGUCUGAGUGAAUGCUGGCUGUCACUAAAUUAUGAGGAGGCUCGGGCAUUGUUAGGUAGACUGGAACAUCAGAGACCACGAAUGCAGCAUUGCAAGUUCUUCAUGGAAUUGAUAUAAGAAGCCUGAGACCACGAAUGGCCAUUGCUAUUGCUGAAAGUAUCAAGCCUACAGCGCCACCACGCUCUUCAAGAAGGAAAUCCUCACAAGAAGGACAUGUCAAUGCAUAUGUCCAUGCACUCUGUAAGCUUGCUUGUAGAGGCCAUAUUGCUUAAAGCAAAAUCUUUGGACGCCCUUGGUAGAGUAACAGAUAUUAUUUGGAAGAUAAGAACGGUGGUGGAAUCUCUGCAUUGAUUUUGUAGGGCGCCGGCGGUCUGCUGCUGCACCUGCCCGCCAGCUGGUUAUGCCACCGCCCGGAGCAGCACAGUGCAGUCUCAGGCCGUAGGUGACUGCAGUGCUGUGUCCAUGGCUUCAACCUACGCCUAGGCGUUCGUGGUGGAUCCAGAGAAUGUGCUUCAAGCCGAGAAGCAAGCGGCAGCUGAUCGAGCUCAACAAGGUAUUAACACACGCAUGCCCAAUCCCAGUAGUUACGCCAUUAACUGUGUUUUCUUUGCGAUAUACUUGAAUUCAAUGGCGGCUUGGCUAGACAUUGUUACUGCACAUCUUAUAGAUGUAUCUUUAUGUUUAGUUUUGAGAUGAACCACUUCUUGCUGGUAUAUAGUGAGAAUGAGCGAGGUAGCAUAUGUUUUAUAGCAGUUCAUACAGCAUAGUGCAAUGUAUUUUCUAGACUGUCUUUUGGCAAUUUGUUGACUAAUCUAUUCAUUUAUGUUUGCUAUCUGCUAUCGUUCUCAUGUUCGGGCUUUGUUGAAAGUAUUAAUCAUAAUCAGUGAUCAGUGAGGAGCCAACGGUGCUCCGCCGUCAUGGUCGUCUGCUUGCUGUGGCUGCAGUGGCUCGACGUGGGCUUUUGCUGGGGAAGGGGAGGGGGGAGGGGGGAGGGGAAAGGUGAUGAUAUUCAAUAUCAAUGGCAUGUCUAAUGUUUUGCCUAAUUUGAGUUUUGUGACUAAUGUUUUUAAAAAAGAAUACACUGGGCCAAUGAUUUUAUAUUAUGAGCAAUAUAAGCAUUUUAAAUUGAUUGAUGAUUUUCA